rnacentral:rRNA from 1 species
GACAGAGGAUGCAAGCGUUAUCCGGAAUGAUUGGGCGUAAAGCGUCUGUAGGUGGCUUUUCAAGUCCGCCGUCAAAUCCCAGGGCUCAACCCUGGACAGGCGGUGGAAACUACCAAGCUGGAGUACGGUAGGGCAGAGGGAAUUUCCGGUGGAGCGGUGAAAUGCGCAGAUAUCAGGAGGAACACCAAUGGCGAAGGCAGCUCGCUGGGACGGUACUGACGCGUGAGGAGCGAAAGCGUGGGGAGCGAACAGG